rnacentral:rRNA from 1 species
UACGUAGGUGGCAAGCGUUGUUCGGAUUUACUGGGCGUAAAGGGCGCGUAGGCGGCGUAACAAGUCACUUGUGAAAUCUCCGGGCUUAACCCGGAGCGGCCAAGUGAUACUGUUGUGCUAGAGUGCGGAAGGGGCUACUGGAAUUCUCGGUGUAGCGGUGAAAUGCGUAGAUAUCGAGAGGAACACCUGCGGCGAAGGCGGGUAGCUGGGCCGACACUGACGCUGAGGCGCGAAAGCCAGGGGAGCGAACGGG